UCUCCUUCAGUUUCCUCUCUGAAUCACAGAAAACAUACCCCGUCAUCUCUGAAUCGCAGAAAACCCUCUCCUUCGUCUUUCUCUAGAUUGCAGAAAACCCCCAACUCGAAAUGGAGUUGGUCUUUCUCAACCUAUUUCUCUGAAUCACAGAAAAUCCAAAAACCCCCAACUCCAUUUGUGUCCUGACCUUCGUCUUUUUCCGAAUCGCAAAACUCCACUUGGAGUUCAUCUUUCUCAACCCCAACUCCAUUUAGAGAUCAUAUUUCUCAAAAGUGCAAAAAACUCGAAAACCCCAUUUCGUCUUCGUCUUUGUCUGAGAAUCGCACAAAUCCUAAAGUGGUAUGCAGAGAACCCACGGCAUUUCUUGCACAAAUCCUAAAGGGGUGCGCAGAGAACCCACUAAAUAAUUUUUUCUGGCUUUUCUUCUGAAGAUAUCAUUGGUAUCUAUCUUAUCAACAGGAGUCAAAAUGGGGUUGAAAUGGAGAUUAUGUAAUUGGCUAGGCUUGAUAUGUGAGCUUCUGAGCUAUACACAGGCACUUUUAAGCAAAUGGCAUUUUGCUUUCCUUCAACACCCAAGAAACUGGCGAUGAUCGUGGGAUGUUUCGUCUCCAGUGAAGCUCGUUUUCUCAUAGGUCUGCAUCUCUCUUAUGUCAACGACGCUCCUCAACAAGCUCAAAUUCAGGCUCAUAAUUGAAGCAAUGAGAAAAAGAUUAAGAAAGAAGUACGGCAAAUGAAGAGUCUGUUGUUAAUGGCUCUGGGCUUAUAUACACUCUAGUUAUUAUUCUCCAUCCUAGCCCUUUGUGUACUGGCAAGUCAAGACUCAUUUUGAAAUUUCAUUGGCGCAAUGUCGUUAGGGUACCAAGGUUGUAAUGGCUAUAGAAGCAAGGCAAUGAAUUUGGCUUUCACUGGAUUGCAAGCAUAGAUUCAAAAAUUUAUUGGAUUAUGGUGUAUUCUCA